rnacentral:rRNA from 1 species
UACCAUGCAGUCGAGCGGAGAUGAGGUGCUUGCACCUUAUCUUAGCGGCGGACGGGUGAGUAAUGCUUAGGAAUCUGCCUAUUAGUGGGGGACAACAUUUCGAAAGGAAUGCUAAUACCGCAUACGUCCUACGGGAGAAAGCAGGGGAUCUUCGGACCUUGCGCUAAUAGAUGAGCCUAAGUCGGAUUAGCUAGUUGGUGGGGUAAAGGCCUACCAAGGCGACGAUCUGUAGCGGGUCUGAGAGGAUGAUCCGCCACACUGGGACUGAGACACGGCCCAGACUCCUACGGGAGGCAGCAGUGGGGAAUAUUGGACAAUGGGGGGAACCCUGAUCCAGCCAUGCCGCGUGUGUGAAGAAGGCCUUAUGGUUGUAAAGCACUUUAAGCGAGGAGGAGGCUACUGAGACUAAUACUCUUGGAUAGUGGACGUUACUCGCAGAAUAAGCACCGGCUAACUCUGUGCCAGCAGCCGCGGUAAUACAGAGGGUGCGAGCGUUAAUCGGAUUUACUGGGCGUAAAGCGUGCGUAGGCGGCUUUUUAAGUCGGAUGUGAAAUCCCCGAGCUUAACUUGGGAAUUGCAUUCGAUACUGGGAAGCUAGAGUAUGGGAGAGGAUGGUAGAAUUCCAGGUGUAGCGGUGAAAUGCGUAGAGAUCUGGAGGAAUACCGAUGGCGAAGGCAGCCAUCUGGCCUAAUACUGACGCUGAGGUACGAAAGCAUGGGGAGCAAACAGGAUUAGAUACCCUGGUAGUCCAUGCCGUAAACGAUGUCUACUAGCCGUU